GCUACCAUGCAGUCGAGCGAGAACCGGGGCUUCGGCCCCGGGGACAGCGGCGAACGGGUGAGUAACACGUGGAUAACCUGCCCUCGGCACCGGGAUAGCCCGGGGAAACUCGGAUUAAUACCGGAUGGCCCUUCCGACCUUCGGGUCGGUCGGGAAAGGUAGCUUCGGCCUCUGGCCGGGGAUGGGUCCGCGGCGGAUUAGCUUGUUGGUGGGGUAACGGCCCACCAAGGCGACGAUCCGUAGCUGGUCUGAGAGGACGAUCAGCCACACUGGGACUGAGACACGGCCCAGACUCCUACGGGAGGCAGCAGUGGGGAAUCUUGCGCAAUGGGCGAAAGCCUGACGCAGCGACGCCGCGUGAGGGAAGACGGCCUUCGGGUUGUAAACCUCUUUCAGGAGGGACGAAGCUACUCGGGUGAAUAGCCCAGAGGGUGACGGUACCUCCAGAAGAAGCCCCGGCUAACUACGUGCCAGCAGCCGCGGUAAUACGUAGGGGGCAAGCGUUGUCCGGAUUUACUGGGCGUAAAGAGCGUGUAGGCGGCCAGACACGUCUGUUGUGAAAACUGGAGGCUCAACCUCCGUACGUCGAGGAAACCGUCUGGCUAGAGUCGGGAAGAUGAUAGUGGAAUUCCUGGUGUAGCGGUGAGAUGCCAGAUAUCAGGAAGAACACCAUGGCGAAGGCACUCUGUGGGACGGUCUGACGCUGAGAGCGAACCGUGGGAGCGAACACGAUUAGAUACCCUGGUGUCCACGCCGUAACUAUGCUGCUAGUGUGGAGGUUCGACUCUUCCGUGCUACCUACGCAUAGUCACCCGCCGUGAGUCGCCUAUGCUAACUUUAGAUUCACGGGGG
rnacentral:rRNA from 1 species